GAUGAACGCUAGCGGCAGGCUUAAUACAUGCAAGUCGUGGGGCAGCAUGAGUAGCAAUACUUGAUGGCGACCGGCAAACGGGUGCGGAACACGUACACAACCUUCCUUCAAGCGGGGAAUAGCCCAGAGAAAUUUGGAUUAAUACCCCAUAAAAUAUAAAAAUGGCAUCAUUAUAUAUUAAAGACUUCGGCACUUGAUGAUGGGUGUGCGGCUGAUUAGAUAGUUGGCGAGGUAACGGCUCACCAAGUCUACGAUCAGUAGCUGAUGUGAGAGCAUGAUCAGCCACACGGGCACUGAGACACGGGCCCGACUCCUACGGGAGGCAGCAGUAAGGAAUAUUGGACAAU
rnacentral:rRNA from 1 species